ensembl:lncRNA
GGCUAAGUAUGCUUGGGAUAAACAAAAGGGAUUUCUUGGGCCUCAUACUCUCAAAGACUGACCCUUGCCCUCGUGAUGAUAAUAUAGCUGCUGGAGCCCAGCAACUACAUCCUCUCAGGGGUAAGAACAUCAGAGGAGAGAGAGCUUCAACCAGUUCGAACAAAAACCCGGGACCUAAUCUUCAACUACCCAAGUUAGGUCAAGUGGCCAUCCCUGACACAAUUACACUGGCCAGGAGAAGGCAAGACAGAGCCUGGUAUAAAGCUAGGUCCCAUAAUGACCUCUGUGGGAGAAGAAUCUAAAAACAAUGACAUGAGGGUCUAUGUGCCCAAAGAAUCAACAACAACAAAAAGUUCCUGAAACUAAUAAGGCUGAAAGACAGAAGGAAAUGAAAGCGGUGCCUGGGGCUGAGGAACCUUUCUCCUGGGGAGUAAACGUAAAUGACUACCCACCCCAGGAUUCUCCAGUGGAGUUCUGCUGGCUAUGUUUCUUUUGGAAAUGAUGAAAACUUUCUGAUUAUGGUGGUUGCCCAACUUUGUCAAUCUAUUAAAAGCCAUGAGUUGUACAAUCUAAACAGGAAAAUUGGAGGGUAUGUGAAUUUUGUCUCAAUACAAGUGUUACUAAAAACAGUAAAUGGGGUGGGGGCGGUAGAAGCAAUCUUAAAA